CAUGUGUAGAUUUUCCUUUCCUUGUCUUUCACAAGUAUCAUGUUUUUCUUCAAUCCUCUGUGUGUGGGGGGGGGGAUGACAGGAUCUUGCUAUGUUGUCCAGGCUAGAGUGCAGUGGCAUGACCAUGGCUCACUGCAGCCUUAACCUCCUGGGCUCAAAGGAUCCUCCCACCUCAGCCUCCCAAAGUGUUGGGAUUACAGGCAUGAGCCACAAUGCCCAGCCUUAAAUUCUUUUCAACUUUAAAAAAUUUUGGUCAUGUGUGAUGACCCAUGCCUGUAAUCUCAACACUUCAAGAGGUUGAGGCAGGAGGUUCGUUUGAACCCAGGAGUUGGGGACAAGCCUGGGUACACCAGGAGACCCCAUCUUAAUUUAAAAAAAAAUUACCCAGAGGUGGUGGCAUGGACUACCUGUGGUCCCAGCUACUUGGGACACUCAGGCAGGAGGAUCACCUGAGUCUGGGGGGAUUGAGGCUACAGUGAGCUAUGGCAAUGCCACUGUACUCCUGCCUGGGAAACAGAGUGAGACCCUGUUUCAAAAAAAUUGUUUUUGUCACUUAAAAAUUCUUUUAUUUUUUAAAAAGACAAAUCCUGCCCUCUGUGUACAUCGCUGUGUUUUCAGCAAUGUCUGUUUUCCUCUGUGUUGUUUGCACAUCAUGUUCACUUCUGCAAAUUUUAUUGUUCUUUUCACUUCUGUCUAGGCCCUGCUGUCUCAUGUUUUGUCAACAGGAAGAAAAACACAUCUUCAUGUUUUGUUUUCUUUCCACAUUGUGCAGGUUACACACAAUACAAUAUCAAUCUUAUUCCUAACAGAUCCUAAAAAAGAUAUUUCAAGGCCUAGCUGUAAACUACAGUACUUUAUAUAUCUAUAUUCUUAAUAAAAAUAAAAUCCACAAAUCUUAAAAAGGAACUUUAAAUGCAGGGCUAUAUUGAAUUGGUAAACUGCAACACAAACUGGCGCAACAUAGGUAAAUGAAUACCAAUCUCACUCUAUGUGAUGCAAGCAUGCUACUUUCCCACUAAUUUAAAUUACUUUCAACCACUAUGAGCCAGAAUGCAUGCCUGAACCUUAAACUGCACUUUAAAAAAUAACAUCUUGGCCUAGAAAUUAAAUCUAAUGAAGUACAACCAUCAAAUUAUAUCCGCUACAUUAAUGUUCAAUGCAAAAUUAA
rnacentral:lncRNA from 1 species